CCAGACUCCUACGGGAGGCAGCAGUGGGGAAUAUUGCACAAUGGGGGAAACCCUGAUGCAGCGACGCCGCGUGAAGGAUGAAGUAUUUCGGUAUGUAAACUUCUAUCAGCAGGGAAGAAAAUGACGGUACCUGACUAAGAAGCCCCGGCUAACUACGUGCCAGCAGCCGCGGUAAUACGUAGGGGGCAAGCGUUAUCCGGAUUUACUGGGUGUAAAGGGGGCGCAGACGGCGAUGCAAGCCAGGAGUGAAAGCCCGGGGCCCAACCCCGGGACUGCUCUUGGAACUGCGCGGCUGGAGUACAGGAGGGGCAGGCGGAAUUCCUGGUGUAGCGGUGAAAUGCGUAGAUAUCAGGAGGAACACCGGUGGCGAAGGCGGCCUGCUGGACUGCGACUGACGUUGAGGCCCGAAAGCGUGGGGAGCAAACAGGAUUAGAUACCCGAGUAC
rnacentral:rRNA from 1 species